CGUCCCACGGGUGCCGGUGGCUGAGGCAAGCAACUAUGGGAGUUACGCUUCUGCUAGCGAGACCUUCCUUCUUGGCUUGGAAAUUCCUCUACAGCAGGGGUUCCCACGCUGGGUUAGCCGAUGCAUCAGCCCAUUGGAUGAAGUGCAGGAGCUCUGAGUACCCGCAGAAACACCCUGAAUGAUUUUCUCCAUGGAAAUUAUUGAGACCAUCAGAGAUGUCUUAGUGGAUUGUUAUUUCAAGACAUUUAAGCACCUGAAGGUGUCGAAAUCCUAAAAGAAUCCCCAACGUGCAGAAAGGGAAAUUCCUGUAAGACAGCAGAGGCAGGGAGCAACCUCAGGUAAGUGCAGGAAUACCUAGGAUAUACUGACGUCUGGACUGCAUGCGGGGUGGGAGGAGUUGGGCCUUCCUUUGGUGGGUGCCAGAGGUUAUGUAGCUGUGCUUACAUAGCCAACAGUCUUGAACAUCUUGAUUGUUAUUGGUCAUUGAUUAGCAACUUUCUGAACCUCUGUUUAUUUCUCUCUCUCCCUUUUUUAUUUAUGCAUUCUGUCGAAUUAAUAUAUUACAGAAUCUAGGGUAGCAGUUCUUUCAAACUACAUUUGCUGUGUUUCUUCAUGUUGUGUGAAGUGACCUUUCUGUCAGACUCUGAUUACGCUUGCCCAGCUAUGCCUGCCUAAACUGUUGGGAGCACACAGAGAUUGUUUUUGUGAAUAAGACUUCUCAACUGUAUUGAAAAUUCCGUAUUGCUUUGAGCUAUGGUUCUUUCUUGGCAUAGCUCUGCUGAAAAGAUUACAAGCUCUUAAAGCUUGAUGGUUUAUACAGUCCUUCUAAUCUAAUUCAAAGGCUCUUGAUAACUGUUUUUUAGCUUGCAAAACCUGUGGAAAAAAACUCCACUGAGAUUAAUACAUUAUGUAUGAGCAGACCAAAUAUGACCAUUUUUGCUGUCAUCUAGUGUUAAUAUUAGGACAUCCCAGUGUUUCUUAUGGUUAAGUGAAUUUCUCUGUUGUUAGUUACUGUGGUAGCUGGCAUCUUGUUUAACAGAAGAAUUCUUAAAAACCUUCAGACAGGAAUGUGUUGUCUUCAGGAUAGUGAUCACUAUCACAUUCCAACAGUAACAGUUGUAUCAAAAAGAAAUACUGACUGGCAAGAAGCCUCUCUUGAGUCCCACAGAAAAUAAUAUUUGUGAUUAAAAUACAUGUCACCCCAGUGGUGGUUAUAGCUGAUCUCUGUUAUUGUUGUACAAUUCAUGUUCGUAAAAGUAAUGUAGAACAUUGUGUGCUGUGUGGAAUUACAGUGCACACCCUUAAUAUCUCUAUAACAAAACAAAUGUUCUCAACAUGGACUUUGAUACACCCUCUCUGUUCUUUGCUUUUAUAACAUUAGUUUGUCAGGGUAAAUCUUCAGAGAUACAUUUAAGAGAUACCUGAUAUUUUAAAAUUGUUUAUUUCAGCCGGUUAUAGAAUGUAACACAGCAAAGAGUCCAGCUGUCUUUCAGAAGAGGAGAGUCUCAUUUCUUUGAUGUUGUCUCCAGAUGCUUGCACAUGUUUUUUUGAAUAGUACCAGUGGCUUAUAUUCUGUUAUACUUGGGGGUGUGCAUGUUUUCCUCUUUUUAAGUUAGUCUAAAAAAGAUAUUAUGCCUUCGGCCUUGUGUCAGUGUUUACUCUGGAUUUGAUGUUUUACCAUGGAGUUGAAGCAUCUGUGCAGUCUCUUGCAUCCUUUUCAGUUCAUUAUCUAUAUGCUAGUACUAUAUGGAUUUCAGUUUAAAUCAUACCACAGCCAGAGGAAUGAUCUCACUCAUAUGAAAAUACCUUUUUAUUUUCCAUGUGCAACUACAUUGUGAACCUAUGUCCAAAGCUAAAGCAUAAACUUGGCUGACCUUGCAGCUGUUAAUUUUGCUGUCUACUUACCAGCUGUUCAGUUUUUGUUUGCUUCUCUAAAAGGGGUUUUGUUAAGCACAGAAACAGAAUCUAUUCUUUGCUUUCAGUAACCAUUUCGCUACCAAGUCCUCCAGGGGUGAUCGCUUCCUUUGGCACUUGUUUAAUUCUUCUAGCUGAACCAUUUCACUUAACAUAUCUGGAAGACUUCUGUCUAGUCAGUUGUUUUAACUUAAGUAACUCACUGAAACUGAGAACAUUUCCUAGCAGUGUAGAUACAGCCCCAAAAGUUCGUGACUGAGACAGUCUUGCAGCUGUCUGUUGCAGUUCUCGGGGGAAAUUGUGUAUUUUCCUCAUUCUGGCUAGAAGAAAUCUGGACAAAUUUCUUCCCAUGUUUUCUCUUAAAUCAUCCCCUCUUCCCCAACGCUUGUUAGUUGGGAAAUAAAUUCUAUAGUUUUGAAAACUGCUAGGUUUUUACAUUCACAUCUAAAUCUAAAUUAAAACAAACUUUCUCAUUGGCAUUCAUUCCAGGGUCAGUGGACUAAACUAUGUCCAAGAAUUAAAUUGGAGCAGAGCAAAAGCUUCACUAUAGUUAAGAUUGAAAAACCCCUCUUUGUUCAAAAUUGAACUCUUCUACUAUUCUGAAAUCCCUCUGUUUACUUGGAUGUACUGAAAUUUAUCAUGCAGUAAGGGAUUAGUGUUCUGAGUUUUGGAUCAGCUGAUUGGGGAUUGUCGAAAUACAAAAGAAAAACCUUUGAAUAAACAUGCAUGACGCUCAUAAACUGAGCAGCUUCUGCUAUCUUUAUAUGAACUAGGUGAAUGAGAAGCUUUCCAAUUCUUCUGUGUGCUGUGCUUUUUUUGAAGCAUUCUGUGGAGUCUGAGGUUUAAAAUUGGAGGCGUAAUCUCGAUGUAUUAUUUUUCAGCCAAAUCCGUUCCUCGAUGUGGUUUAGAAUGUAGCCCCAAAAAGAGCACAGCUGUCACAGCUGGAGGGGCAGUCUGGGGGCUGGUAAGGAAUGGCACUGUCUUGAACCAGUGGUGUUACCAGACACAGUUUUGAGAGGAUAGAUUUCUUAUCUGGGUGGUAAUUUGGGAAGAAUCUGUGACUCUGUAAGGGGAGGAGAAUGUCCGGGUUUUCCUCCUCUGUGUUAGGAAAAGGGAAGAUAGUUGCAAUCAUCAUUGAGGUGAACAAAUGUUCUCUUUACCUUCUGAGAACACUGCACUGAAAUAAUGGAUUGCUAUGCUGACCUUUAACUUCUAAAAGCUGGAAAUUGCUGGAUUUCUGUGACACUUGCUCUAUCUGAAACGAGCUCAGUGUAGCAUAUGUGACCCAUUUUUGGUCUCUUGAAAUGCUCUCAUCUGCUCCAGUUUCCUCCUUUAGCAUUUUUCAAGUUUUGGUUGAUAGGUUCUUCUGUGUGUAGACCAAAUGAAUGAAAUAAUGUCUAUUAAUAGAUUCUCAGGGGGGCUGGCUUGCUCAGCAUUUAUCCCAGGUAGAGCAUGGAACUGAGCACACUUUUGAAAAGCAAUAUCAAAUGCAAUAUUUGGAAAAUAACUAAACUCUACAGGUAAGAGUGAACCUCAUAUUCAAGAUUUGGGGUAUCUAUUUCUUGAGCAUCAAGGUCUGGUUCCCAUGCUGCUUUGAGAUCUGCAAGUGUAUCCUGCAGAUAAUCCAAAUAAAAGCUUCUGAAAGCAGGAAAUACAAAAUUAUGGUGUUUUAUUUCAUCCUUUUGCAUAUCUUUUGGUUUUUAUUCUGUUCAAGCACAAAAUCACCUGGUUUGGGUCCUGUGGAGGUUUGUGCAGACUGACGCUGUGCAUGUAUGCUUUCCAGCCAGAUGUGAUCCGAGGAUGGCAGCCAAGCCAUUUGUUCUGUGGAGGCCACUGAGGAACUGUAACUUUCACCUGCUUAGGAGGACUCUUGGUGGGUGUGCCACCUAUCAUGGAGACUGUAUCCAUCCAGCUGCUCACAGUAUCCACAGCAGGGAGGUUUUGGGAGUUGCCACUGAGACAAACUGUAUGCCAUGCAGUACUGAAGGAAGACAUGCAGGAUUUCUAAGCAGUGUGUGUGUCUCCUAGUUGUUUGCUUACCAUAUGUAUCAGGCAAAAUGAAGGACUUGUCCCAUUUUCUUCCAGAUGGUUUUGUAUCAUUAUGCAGGGUUAGAACUUUACUGUGUUGCUACAGCUGAUCUGGAACUAUGCCUAGCCCAUUGAAUGCACAUGAUAUGUUUGUGAAUAAUUUCUAUUAUUAUUGCUGUUUUUAGUAGGCACAAUUAAGUUUGAGGAUUUGAACGUUAACAAUAUUUCCUGAGCUUCAGAUUUUUGUUCAUCUCCUCCAUCUCAGAAGAAAAAUGUUUUGUUGAAUUUAGUGUUAAUUUCUUCCAUUAAUUUAUUUUGUUUUUAAUCUAAGAUGUGAAUGCUGCUAUUUUCCUCCUUGCUAUUUGAAUCAUGCAGAGCUUGGGAGAAAGGGCAGUCAAAUUUGUAAUACUCUCACUUUUAUAUUGUAAGGAUUGACUUUUUCAAGGGAUGUCUACAGAGAUCUUCAUUCACACCUUUGACUUUUCAAGGGUGUUGCAGGUCUUUGUCGAAUCAGUGUUUUAAUCGGUAACUAAAUCUCUAAUGAAGUUUCGCUAUAGUGAGCAGCUCUUGGCUGUUUUUUCAGAUGUAAAAUACUAGGGUGCUGUUACCUUCCAGGUGUCCCUUUAUAAUUUGUUGGAAUUUUUGGUUGAAGAAUGGACAUUAUUUGCGUGUAGAUAGUAAACUACCUGUCUGUUAGAUAGAACUAGCUGUUAAUUUUAGAACUGUUUAAAUUUUAGUUGGCCAACACUGUGUUAUAAAGGAGCAUUCCCAUUCUGUUUAGUUUAAAUAGGAGUCAGCCUAAAGGAGAAGGAACAAAGCACUGUCAUCCACACAUUACUACUUAGUUUGUGGCAGGAUCCAUGUGUUCCAGGAUCCAUCAGCGUUUUAGAACUAACCUUCAAAAAAAUCUCAAAAGUUACAUGGUAUCAUAUGAAUCAGUUUGUAUUGCUCAUAUUAGUUAAGGAUGCAUGGUAAGUGUUGCCUUGACCUUAAAGAAACCUACAUGGCUUAACUGAUUUAAGAGACUUCCACAAGAGGGUGCACCAGUUCAACAAAAGCCCAUAUAAACCAAAUGAGCAUGUCCCCAUUGUGGGCAUAUUUUCUAUCAUUUUAUGUAUUAACUCAUGUAUCUAAAUCAACUUCUAAAACUGGAUGGAUGCUUUAAUCAGUUUAAUGUCUCAGUGCGUCUCUCCAGUCUGUAACAGAUACAUGAAUGGAUACAUGAUGUUUUGCUGGUAAGCAAGUCAGGAAGUUUAAUUUUGAACAAAAGGCACUGUUUCUAGAAGUCCCGUUCACGCUGAUGAAAGGCUGUUUUCAGACUCCAGUCACAAAAUUAUAUUUAGAUGUUUGGGGUUUUUUAGUGUACUGAAAUGUGUUACCUGUUCCUAAUUUAUGCCUGAUGCCCUGCAAAUGCUCACUACUUGCAUUUUAAGAAUAAAGUUUGGGGAUUUUUUUUAAAUUUUUUUAUUUAGUUUUGAAGCAUCAUUAAUUUUCCCUUCAGACUGGUACAACACUGGACAGUACAGCUGCAGAAGAGAACUCCACCUAGAAAGAUGACUUCUUGAGAGACUGCUGACUUGAGUAUGACUGAUACAAUUUUUUUUCUGUUUCUGGUUUUUGAUAAAAUUAUUUCAUGUUUCAUAAGAUAGAUGGGAACUCUUAGUAACGCUUCACCUGAAGUUGUAUAAUGUUACUGUACUGAUAUGCUAAAAGCAUUAAAGUGUUCUGCUGUAUGUGUAGGCCAAAGUUCUAGGUCCAUUACUCUAAGACUGCAGUCCUAGGAUAGUAAGAUAUCUCUGCAGAAAUGAUUAACAAAUUUUCCAGAAAAAGGGCCUCACUUUUGAAUCAUGCAUUCUCUGACCAAAUACAUGAAUCAUAAAUCACUUACAGAGAUAAGAGUAUCUGACACUCAGCAAAAUAACUAGAAGUGUGGUGAUAUUCAUAUGUGUAAUACACGAUUUUUAUCUGUGAAAUGCUCUUUUCAGUAAACUUUUGGCUUGUAUUAAAUAAGAGAAAUGGAAUGGUGUGCUUUUAAAACUUUUAAUUACUAGUACAAGAUAUUAAAAGAAGGUGAAUUUGAGACCAAGGAAAUUACUAUUUUUUGUUACUGCUAGCUGCAAAUGUAGAAGCUGGGUCUGGAUUCAAAAGGUUUCAUUUACUAACACUGAUGAAUUGGAACUACUCUAGUUUUGAUACUUUUCUUUUGAGCAGUGUAAAAGAAAAGAAUAUGAGGUUCUACUAAAAGAUCACCACCACACAGUGAAUACGUCAUUUAACUAGCAAGAAGAUUUUUAUUUUAAAGACUAUGAACUAGCCACCUUUUUCCAUUUACACCAGUUCUAGAUUAUCAUGUGUAAGCAGAUGAGGGUUUGUUUUUUUACUUGCUUGUGGAUAGUACCAGAAAAAUAAUUUGUGUUUAUAUUUUUCUUAAAAACACUGUGGUUUUAGGUCAUUGCUGUCCUCCAGAGAGCCAAAUACAUCUACCAGUCAGAUAUGCGAUACUGCUUAGUUAUCUAAGAUUCCUGGCUAUAUCUGAUAGCAAUAGGGCACAAGGAGGAAUAGUAAUUACUGUAGUUAUUUACUUACUGAUCAUCUUGCUCUGCAUAGAGUGGCAUUUUCAGAAGCAAUUCUUUAUUCUGACAGUGUGUGGAAGUCAGCCAUUUUUAAAAAUGUAGAUACACAACACAGAUGCCCCCCAGCAAAGAAGGGUCCCAGCUUCUUUUCUAAAAGGCUGUGGCAUGAAGCAUUUACCACUCCCCAGAGGUCCUCCUUCUGACCUGAAGUUACAUGUACCAGCCUGGCCAAAGUUUGGUCAAUGUUGAGUGUUUCCAGUGGAGGGAGACUUUAAUUAAUAGAAAAUUUCAUCUCAGCAUGUUUGGACCUUGACAUUUCUGCCCUCCUAAUCUUCAGGAUGGACCAAAGUGAGAUGUAACCCACUAGGUGUCACUCCAGCAAAGGCUAUCUGAAUACAGGUGUCAAACCUUUGUGGCUCUCCUCUCUUCCUUAGUGAAAACCGGCUCGCAUUAUUUCACCUUCAUAUAAACACAGCAAGCACUUUUUUAACUUCUAAAAAAACCUGAUUGAAAUUACGAGUCUUAGUAUUAAGAGGAAGGAUAAAAAUAUGCACAGAAAAUAAAAAUUAUAAAUAUUGUAUUUAUGCAAUAUUUUAUUGUAAGGGAGAAAAAACAAACCCUAUACAUAAUAGGUUGAGUCUGUUGACAUAUGAUGAAAAAUGGACUAUUGCAAAAGUCUAAUAGGUAUGGAAGUGUUAGCACAUCUU